GGAUUAGGGUUCGAUUCCGGAGAGGGAGCCUGGGAAACGGCUACCACAUCCAAGGAAGGCAGCAGGCGCGCAAAUUACCCAAUCCCGACACGGGGAGGUAGUGACAAUAAAUAACAAUACGGGGCUCAUUUGGGUCUCGUAAUUGGAAUGAGUACAAUUUAAAUCCCUUAACGAGGAACAAUUGGAGGGCAAGUCUGGUGCCAGCAGCCGCGGUAAUUCCAGCUCCAAUAGCGUAUAUUUAAGUUGUUGCAGUUAAAAAGCUCGUAGUUGGACCUUGGGUCGUCACGGUCAGUCCGCCUACUUGGUGUGCACUGGCCCUCACGUCCCUUCUGCCGGCGGCGCGUUCCUGGCCUUAAUUGGCUGGGUCGCGGUUCCGGCGCCGUUACUUUGAAAAAAUUAGAGUGCUCAAAGCAAGCCUACGCUCUGAAUACAUUAGCAUGGAAUAACGCGAUAGGAGUCUGGUCCUGUUCCGUUGGCCUUCGGGACCGGAGUAAUGAUUAAUAGGGACUGUCGGGGGCAUUCGUAUUUCAUUGUCAGAGGUGAAAUUCUUGGAUUUAUGGAAGACGAACCACUGCGAAAGCAUUUGCCAAGGAUGUUUCCAUUAAUCAAGAACGAAAGUUGGGGGCUCGAAGACGAUCAGAUACCGUCCUAGUCUCAACCAUAAACGAUGCCGACCAGGGAUCGGCGGAUGUUGCUCUAAGGACUCCGCCAGCACCUUCUUGGAAACCAAU
rnacentral:rRNA from 1 species